rnacentral:rRNA from 1 species
UACGAAGGGGGCUAGCGUUGUUCGGAAUUACUGGGCGUAAAGCGCGCGUAGGCGGUCAUCCAAGUCGGCGGUGAAAGCCCGGGGCUCAACUCCGGAAUUGCCUUUGAAACGGGAUCGCUAGAGUCCGAGAGAGGAUGGCGGAAUUCCUAGUGUAGAGGUGAAAUUCGUAGAUAUUAGGAAGAACACCGGUGGCGAAGGCGGCCAACUGGCUCGGUACUGACGCUCAGGCGCGAAAGCGUGGGGAGCAAACAGG